UGUAAAGCAAUUAUACUCCAAUGAAGAUGUAAAAAAAAAAGCUUAGCAUGGCCCCUUUGCAAGGAUGAUACGCAAAUUCAUGAAGCCUUCCAUAUUUUU
rnacentral:snRNA from 1 species